rnacentral:rRNA from 1 species
UAGGGAAUCUUCCACAAUGGACGCAAGUCUGAUGGAGCAACGCCGCGUGAGUGAAGAAGGUCUUUCGGAUCGUAAAACUCUGUUGUUAGAGAAGAACACGAGUGAGAGUAACUGUUCAUUCGAUGACGGUAUCUAACCAGCAAGUCACGGCUAACUACGUGCCAG